UACAGAGGUGGCAAGCGUUGUUCGGAAUUACUGGGCGUAAAGGGCGCGUAGGCGGUCUUGCAAGUCCUGUGUGAAAUCCCUCGGCUCAACUGAGGAACUGCACAGGAAACUGCUUGGCUUGAGUUCGGGAGAGGGAAGCGGAAUUCCGGGUGUAGAGGUGAAAUUCGUAGAUAUUCGGAAGAACACCAGUGGCGAAGGCGACUUACUGGACGAUUGUUGACGCUGAGGUGCGAAAGCGUGGGGAGCAAACAGG
rnacentral:rRNA from 1 species